AGCGUACACGGUGGAUGCCCUGGCAGUCAGAGGCGAUGAAGGACGUGCUAAUCUGCGAAAAGCGCCGGCGAGGUGAUAUGAACCUUUGACCCGGCGAUGUCCGAAUGGGGAAACCCAGUGUGAUUCGUCACACUAUCGUUAACUGAAUACAUAGGUUAACGAGGCGAACCGGGGGAACUGAAACAUCUAAGUACCCCGAGGAAAAGAAAUCAACCGAGAUUCCCCCAGUAGCGGCGAGCGAACGGGGAGCAGCCCGGAGUCUGAAUCAGCUUGUGUGUUAGUGGAACGGUCUGGAAAGUCCGACGGUACAGGGUGAUAGUCCCGUACACGAAAAUGCACAGGUUGUGAACUCGAAGAGUAGGGCGGGACACGUGGUAUCCUGUCUGAAUAUGGGGGGACCAUCCUCCAAGGCUAAAUACUCCUGACUGACCGAUAGUGAACCAGUACCGUGAGGGAAAGGCGAAAAGAACCCCGGCGAGGGGAGUGAAAAAGAACCUGAAACCGUGUACGUACAAGCAGUGGGAGCCUACUUGUUAGGUGACUGCGUACCUUUUGUAUAAUGGGUCAGCGACUUAUAUUCUGUAGCAAGGUUAACCGUAUAGGGGAGCCGAAGGGAAACCGAGUCUUAACUGGGCGUUAAGUUGCAGGGUAUAGACCCGAAACCCGGUGAUCUAGCCAUGGGCAGGUUGAAGGUUGGGUAACACUAACUGGAGGACCGAACCGACUAAUGUUGAAAAAUUAGCGGAUGACCUGUGGCUGGGGGUGAAAGGCCAAUCAAACCGGGAGAUAGCUGGUUCUCCCCGAAAGCUAUUUAGGUAGCGCCUCGUGAACUCAUCUUCGGGGGUAGAGCACUGUUUCGGCUAGGGGGCCAUCCCGGCUUACCAACCCGAUGCAAACUACGAAUACCGAAGAAUGUUAUCACGGGAGACACACGGCGGGUGCUAACGUCCGUCGUGAAGAGGGAAACAACCCAGACCGCCAGCUAAGGUCCCAAAGUCAUGGUUAAGUGGGAAACGAUGUGGGAAGGCACAGACAGCCAGGAUGUUGGCUUAGAAGCAGCCAUCAUUUAAAGAAAGCGUAAUAGCUCACUGGUCGAGUCGGCCUGCGCGGAAGAUGUAACGGGGCUAAACCAUGCACCGAAGCUGCGGCAGCGACACUAUGUGUUGUUGGGUAGGGGAGCGUUCUGUAAGCCGUUGAAGGUGGCCUGUGAGGGUUGCUGGAGGUAUCAGAAGUGCGAAUGCUGACAUAAGUAACGAUAAAGCGGGUGAAAAGCCCGCUCGCCGGAAGACCAAGGGUUCCUGUCCAACGUUAAUCGGGGCAGGGUGAGUCGACCCCUAAGGCGAGGCCGAAAGGCGUAGUCGAUGGGAAACAGGUUAAUAUUCCUGUACUUGGUGUUACUGCGAAGGGGGGACGGAGAAGGCUAUGUUAGCCGGGCGACGGUUGUCCCGGUUUAAGCAUGUAGGCGGAGGUUCCAGGUAAAUCCGGUACCUUUUUAACGCUGAGGUGUGAUGACGAGGCACUACGGUGCUGAAGUAACAAAUGCCCUGCUUCCAGGAAAAGCCUCUAAGCAUCAGGUAACACGAAAUCGUACCCCAAACCGACACAGGUGGUCAGGUAGAGAAUACCAAGGCGCUUGAGAGAACUCGGGUGAAGGAACUAGGCAAAAUGGUGCCGUAACUUCGGGAGAAGGCACGCUGAUAUGUAGGUGAAGCCCCUGCGGGUGGAGCUGAAAUCAGUCGAAGAUACCAGCUGGCUGCAACUGUUUAUUAAAAACACAGCACUGUGCAAACACGAAAGUGGACGUAUACGGUGUGACGCCUGCCCGGUGCCGGAAGGUUAAUUGAUGGGGUUAGCGGCAACGCGAAGCUCUUGAUCGAAGCCCCGGUAAACGGCGGCCGUAACUAUAACGGUCCUAAGGUAGCGAAAUUCCUUGUCGGGUAAGUUCCGACCUGCACGAAUGGCGUAAUGAUGGCCAGGCUGUCUCCACCCGAGACUCAGUGAAAUUGAACUCGCUGUGAAGAUGCAGUGUACCCGCGGCAAGACGGAAAGACCCCGUGAACCUUUACUAUAGCUUGACACUGAACACUGGUCCUUGAUGUGUAGGAUAGGUGGGAGGCUUUGAAGCGUGGACGCCAGUCUGCGUGGAGCCGACCUUGAAAUACCACCCUUUAAUGGCUGGUGUUCUAACGUAGACCCGUAAUCCGGGUUGCGGACAGUGUCUGGUGGGUAGUUUGACUGGGGCGGUCUCCUCCCAAAGAGUAACGGAGGAGCACGAAGGUUAGCUAAUCCUGGUCGGACAUCAGGAGGUUAGUGCAAUGGCAUAAGCUAGCUUGACUGCGAGAGUGACGGCUCGAGCAGGUGCGAAAGCAGGUCAUAGUGAUCCGGUGGUUCUGAAUGGAAGGGCCAUCGCUCAACGGAUAAAAGGUACUCCGGGGAUAACAGGCUGAUACCGCCCAAGAGUUCAUAUCGACGGCGGUGUUUGGCACCUCGAUGUCGGCUCAUCACAUCCUGGGGCUGAAGUAGGUCCCAAGGGUAUGGCUGUUCGCCAUUUAAAGUGGUACGCGAGCUGGGUUUAGAACGUCGUGAGACAGUUCGGUCCCUAUCUGCCGUGGGCGCUGGAGAAUUGAGGGGGGCUGCUCCUAGUACGAGAGGACCGGAGUGGACGCAUCACUGGUGUUCGGGUUGUCAUGCCAAUGGCACUGCCCGGUAGCUAAAUGCGGAAGAGAUAAGUGCUGAAAGCAUCUAAGCACGAAACUUGCCCCGAGAUGAGUUCU
rnacentral:rRNA from 1 species